ACAGCAUCUUAAACAGGUUGUGGCCUCUGAGCAGUAGGCCAGGAUUUGGUAGCUGGUGCUAAAAUCAAUUCUCUUCUUGCAACAUCCCGCUAGCACCCUCCGGGCUUUCUGGGACUACUCUAGGAGAGAAACAAAA
rnacentral:snoRNA from 1 species